rnacentral:lncRNA from 1 species
CCUCAUAUACAUGAUAGUUUUAGGUCAUACAAGCAAUGGGGAAAAGAAAAGCAGUCUAUAUGUGAUGAAGCAAGCCUAAGUCAAAUAGGUAAUGCCCAUACAACCAAAUUCAUUACAAUGGAUGGAUUUCAGUCCUAAAACUGAAAAGUAAAUAUGCAUAACAUAAGUGAAUCGUAGAACGUGGUCUAUACACAGCACGAUAGUCUUCCUGUGAGUACAGCUUCUACCACACAUCGCCUGUAAACAAAAGAAAAGAUAACCAUACCAUACUCAAGUUGACCAGUGCAAAGCUCGCUAUAAAAUAGAAACUUCAAAGACCAUGUCAGGUAAUAUGUCGAUAGGAUUUAGAAAACAAUGUCCGGAAAACAAAAAUAUUUCUCAGUAUAUAGUAGGAUAUCAUGCAUGCAGCAAUCAUGUACAUAGGUGUUCUCAACAGUGAACUAACAUCAGGCAGAAAAACUAAAAUGCGCCAUUCUAGGAAAGUUUGUAUAUUCUACAUGCAUCGACCACCACAAUACUGAAAGGGAAAGCAAUAUUAUUAAUCAAUAAAAACAUUUUUUUUUCAGAAUCCAUGAGAACGAAGGGAGUGGAAACAGAAAAUAUUUAUAAAUCUUUGAAGGAUACGAAAGAACUGCAAUAUUAUAGGCUAACAUAAUUGAUCUUUUCCAGAGAAGAUCUUUGCUAGAAGGAAAAAACAGGUUUAACCUUGGAAGAGGAUUAUUUUUCUGCUAGCAUUAUGCAAUGGAAUAAAGGAGAAACUACUCUAUUAACGGCAAAUAAUACAGUGAUAGGUGGCGUUGAAAACAAAACUGAUAUAAAAUGUACAUGCCAAUGUAUCUUAAUCAUAGCAAACAACAAACAACAAACAACCAACAAUGAGAAAAUGCAUACCACAUAGCAACAGCCAACAAUAAGCACAUGCAUUGUGAAAACAGACUCAUCCCAUUGGAGAGAAGCAUGGUGGAGAAAAUCAAAAUCCACCAGAAUCAAAAAGAAAUCAAGCACGCAUUACACAUAAAACAUUUACCCUAAGUUCAUGCAUUAGAAAAAUAAGUGAGGGCACCACAUUUUCUAAAACUAUAGUUUAAAGUUAGCAAUCUGAGCAUAGGUGCGAAGAGUAUCUUAACCACGGCUCUGGUUUUAGCUGAAACUUGCUUUUUUAGAUAUAGCAGUACAUAAAAACACAAUGAACAUCUGAAUAAGAAUUUAUUCUUCUGAAAUUAAUAUGGCAUGGGACUGCUAUGGACAAUGAUGGAACAUUUAUGGUGACACAGUUUUUAGAAAUCUUUUUCAUUAUCAUAGUGGAUCUUAGGGAAAAUGGACUUUCAAUCAACUUCAUAGUGGAUCUUAGGGAAAAAUUUCCUAUGCCACUACAACACCGACAAGUGCGACCAUGUUUUCAUCAAAACAAUAUUACCAAUUCUUUUGGUUGCAAUGAAACACCGAAAACCUGGCUCGAGUACAUUUGAACAAUAACAUUGUCGGCUAUCUAAAUACCUGUAAAAUUACAUACUCAUAUAUCAAGCUUUCAAAGUAUAAGUAUUUUUCAGGUCUGGACAGAGUCAAGCGACUGAAAGAAUAUUAUCCUUUUUAGUUAAAAUUAAAUAGCUUAAUCUUCUAUCAGAUUUACAUGGGCCUUAGGGUAUAAUUCGUGAAAACAGAGUAACUAGUGAUAAUCAAAUCCAUUACUGCAUGAAGGUACUUUUUUCACAUGAUCAUGCCAUAAAGGCAUUCCAGAUUUGCAGAAGAAAGGUAGGAAACUCCUACAAAGCAGUAAGCAAAACACCUAGAUUCAGAGCAGCUGGGAACGAAUAAAUUCAGAAAUAGAUAAUUAGUAAACAUUGAGAUUGCACGUGUUCUAUUGCUACCUGCCUUCUCUUGUUAAGUAACUUAUUCAAAGACAGAUAGUAGCUCAC